UGAACGCUAGCGGCAGGCUUAACACAUGCAAGUCGAGGGGCAGCACGAGUAGCAAUACUUGGUGGCGACCGGCAGACGGGUGCGUAACGCGUAUACAACCUACCCUUGAAAGGGGAAUAACCCGGAGAAAUUCGGACUAAUACCCCGUAAGUAUUCGAUCGGCAUCGAUUGGAUAUGAGAGAUUUAUCGUUCAAGGAUGGGUAUGCGUGACAUUAGGAAGUUGGUGAGGUAACGGCUCACCAAUCCGACGAUGUCUAGGGGUUCUGAGAGGAAGGUCCCCCACACUGGUACUGAGACACGGACCAGACUCCUACGGGAGGCAGCAGUGAGGAAUAUUGGUCAAUGGACGAGAGUCUGAACCAGCCAUGCCGCGUGCAGGAAGAAUGCUCUAUGAGUUGUAAACUGCUUUUAUACAAGAAUAAUAAGCCAUACGUGUAUGGUGAUGAAUGUAUUGUAUGAAUAAGGACCGGCUAACUCCGUGCUACCCGGGCCUGAAAGUUAGUGACCGGUGGUGAAAGCCACUUUUCCAGCAAUGGACACGAAACUAGGUGCUGCAUGGUUGUCGUCAGCUCGUGCCGUGAGGUGUCGGGUUAAGUCCCAUAACGAGCGCAACCCCUGUCGUUAGUUGCUAGCAGGUAAUGCUGAGGACUCUAACGAGACUGCCGGUGUAAACCGAGAGGAAGGUGGGGAUGACGUCAAAUCAGCACGGCCCUUACGUCCGGGGCGACACACGUGUUACAAUGGAUGGUACAAAGGGUUGCGACAUAGUGAUAUGAAGCCAAUCUCAAAAAGCCAUUCUCAGCUCGGAUCGCAGGCUGAAACUCGCCUGCGUGAAGUUGGAUUCGCUAGUAAUCGUAUAUCAGCCAUGAUACGGUGAAUACGUUCCCGGGCCUUGUACACACCGCCCGUCAAGCCAUGGAAGUUGGGGGUGCCUGAAGUACGUGUGCGUCAAGCAGCGUCCUAGGGCAAAACC
rnacentral:rRNA from 1 species